rnacentral:lncRNA from 1 species
GCAGUGUUUUCAGGACCCCAAAAAUGCUGAAUGCACUUCUCCUUUUCUGCUCUGUCUGCAGGUUCCUCUCCCUUCCACAGUCUCAGGUAGAACUGAGACCAAUUCCACCAGCCAGAGACCUAGGACGCUCCAGACCCAGGUCAUCACACUUAAGGCAUUUGGGGCAGCCUGCCCUGUUGGAGAAAAUGUCCAAGGGAAGGAGCUUUGCUUGGAAGGCUUCCCCUUGACCAUUUCUGAAAGCUCUAACUUCAAAAAUGGUGUUUGAGCUGCAAGAAACUCCUUUUAUCCUACAGAGUUCCUCUUUCUUGGGGAUAUUCAACUUACUAGCUGUGUGGCCUUAAGUAAGUUACUUAAGGUCUCUGAGCUUUAGCUUCUUCAUCUGUAAAAUGGGAAUGAUAGUGUUUAUUGAAGCUUGGGGAAGGAGAUUGGGUUGGGUCUCUAGGUGAUAAGGAUAUGAAUAGCAAUAUGACCCAAGCUCUAUCUUUAAAGAUCUCAGAGGCACUGGGAAGAGACGGGUGCAAACAACCACAAUACAAGAAACUAAUGCUGUUAGAGAUGUCUGACCCCAACGCUGGCAACACAGUGCCUGAGAGAUCAGAGGGGGCUUCACCAAGGCAGUGACCCUUGAGCCAGGUCUUGACCAAAGAGCAGGUAUUUGCCAGGUAGAGAAGAGAAGGGGAGGGAGUCUGGGCUGAGAGGACUACAGGUGCAGAGGCACGAGGCACAGCAGGGAAGAGCACAUGCAAGGUGUGUGGCAUGCCUAAAAUAGAGUCAAAAAGUAGAACAGGGCAGGUUGGCUAAGCCAGAUCUUCAGGUCUCAUUUGCCAAGCUGAGGAGACUGUCCUAUAUUCUAAGGGAAAUGGGGAGUCAUGGAACUUCUUAAGCAGGGGAGUGAUAUGAGGAGAUCUGCACUCGGGCAAGUUCAAUGAGGCAAGCCAUGAAAGGCAUGGGCUGGUGGGGAUGGGACCGUCAGAAUGAUUUAGGUGAGGCACGAUGGUGGCCAGGGUGGUCUCACACACAGCCCCACUCCCCCAGGAACCCCCCAGCUGCUCUCUCCCCACCUGAUCACAUUCACUCCAACCUCCCUGUUCCCAAAAGUAGUGUCCCCAUGCCACCAGGCAGGAAAACUAGGACUCCUUCUGCACACUUUCCUUUUCCGUUCCUCACAAUCACUGGGAUCCCCUCAGAAACCUUCCCCCUGAAUGCUGGCUUCCGUGUAGAAGAACAUGAUACCCCAUCCCAAAAAGUAUUCAGGUAAAGACUGACAACCUGGAGGACUCUCUUCAGCCUGUCCCCUGCCCUCUUGGGUCCAAGGCUCGAGGGAGGCACCUGAAACAUGCCACAGACCCAGCAUCCGUAAUGCUUCUGUCAAGCAAACGAGGCCAUUACUGACGAGCUCUGUGAUGGACUUGUCCCGUGCGGUAUUUAUUAUAGGGUCCUUUCCCUGACACCUCCCAGGGAGAGAAUAUUAAAUAUUUAAUGCACGUGAGGCUGCUCGUUUUUCAUCCCCACUUCAGCACUCAAGUCUGCUCCGGUCUGGGGGAGAGCCAAAGUCCGCCAGCCUGGCACCCUGAUGCCUUUCCUCCUCCUCCCUGCGCAGUCCUGCUCACCGGAGCAUGGGGCCAGACACGGCCUGGGAUGGGAAAGUGAUGAGGACCCACGCCAACCCUUGGAGCUGAGGCCCAUGUGAACCCUGAGAAGUUUCCCUUCCAUCAGCCUCACUCACGCGAGCCUGAGAACAAUCAGGCAGCAUCAGUGCGCCUCAACCAGACUUGUGAAGCAACGGUCACUGGAGCCUGGGAGCCUUCACAGCAUCCUGCCCAUCGCUCCUCCACGCACACUUCUGAUUCCUCACCCGCCUACAGCUGCUCCCCACACCCCCUGCACCUCCGCUGGAGGGCUGCUUCUGGCUGUGGGAGUCUGCUCAGCCAGCACACAGUGAGCUGGAAGUGCCAGGGAGUCAAUGCCCCUGAAGCAGGCCACCAACAGUGAUGGAUGGUGAGUCGGUGUAUAAAAGCGCCACAUCCUUGCCCCUGGCGCGGGAUAACUCAGGGCUGCAUGUUCUGUGCUGCCCAAUAACAGCUUUUAUGGGCUUCCUUUUCCUCUGUCUCACAUCGCCUCUCCCCUACAAGUGCAUCCUGGGAUCGCCUCCCAAACAAACCACCUGCACCCAAAUCCUUGUCUCAGGGGCUGCUUCUG